UGGAGAGUUUGAUCCUGGCUCAGGACGAACGCUGGCGGCGUGCCUAAUACAUGCAAGUAGAACGCUGAAGGAGGAGYUUGCUUCUCUGGAUGAGUUGCGAACGGGUGAGUAACGCGUAGGUAACCUGCCUGGUAGCGGGGGAUAACUAUUGGAAACGAUAGCUAAUACCGCAUAACAGUAGAUGUUGCAUGACAUUUGCUUAAAAGGUGCAAUUGCAUCACUACCAGAUGGACCUGCGUUGUAUUAGCUAGUUGGUGGGGUAACGGCUCACCAAGGCGACGAUACAUAGCCGACCUGAGAGGGUGAUCGGCCACACUGGGACUGAGACACGGCCCAGACUCCUACGGGAGGCAGCAGUAGGGAAUCUUCGGCAAUGGACGGAAGUCUGACCGAGCAACGCCGCGUGAGUGAAGAAGGUUUUCGGAUCGUAAAGCUCUGUUGUAAGAGAAGAACGAGUGUGAGAGUGGAAAGUUCACACUGUGACGGUAUCUUACCAGAAAGGGACGGSUAACUACGUGCCAGCAGCCGCGGUA
rnacentral:rRNA from 1 species